GAUGAACGCUGGCGGCGUGCCUAAUACAUGCAAGUCGAGCGAACAGACGAGGAGCUUGCUCCUCUGACGUUAGCGGCGGACGGGUGAGUAACACGUGGAUAACCUACCUAUAAGACUGGGAUAACUUCGGGAAACCGGAGCUAAUACCGGAUAAUAUAUUGAACCGCAUGGUUCAAUAGUGAAAGACGGUUUUGCUGUCACUUAUAGAUGGAUCCGCGCCGCAUUAGCUAGUUGGUAAGGUAACGGCUUACCAAGGCAACGAUGCGUAGGCGACCUGAGAGAGUGAUCGGCCACACUGGAACUGAGACACGGUCCAGACUCCUACGGGAGGCAGCAGUAGGGAAUCUUCCGCAAUGGGCGAAAGCCUGACGGAGCAACGCCGCGUGAGUGAUGAAGGUCUUCGGAUCGUAAAACUCUGUUAUUAGGGAAGAACAAAUGUGUAAGUAACUAUGCACGUCUUGACGGUACCUAAUCAGAAAGCCACGGCUAACUACGUG
rnacentral:rRNA from 1 species